rnacentral:rRNA from 1 species
UACGGGGGGGGCAAGCGUUGUUCGGAAUUACUGGGCGUAAAGGGCUCGUAGGCGGCCAACUAAGUCAGACGUGAAAUCCCUCGGCUUAACCGGGGAACUGCGUCUGAUACUGGUAGUGGCUUGAGAUUGGGAGAGGGAUGCGGAAUUCCAGGUGUAGCGGUGAAAUGCGUAGAUAUCUGGAGGAACACCGGUGGCGAAGGCGGCAUCCUGGACCAACACGUGAACGCU